ACCAGUCAGACCACUACACCUUUGCCAGCACCACCACCCAGCAAGCUUCAUCAACUCCAGCCAUGCCGAGUUUACCAGUCAGACCUACACCUCCGUCAAAUUCGCUCACAACGCUGCCAAUAACACCCCAGCAAGAUUUUUACAGACUUGUUCUGCAGCACUUCCGAACAAUUGAGGAGGAGCUGGGGUAAAGCAGCAGGUGGCUGUGAACACAUCUAUGCUGCAGAAGCUAGGUGGUGGUGGUGUGGCGGAUCUUGGCCUCGUGGAGGACAACAACAGGCCAUUGAGUAAUGUUGAGGACCUGGACGAGUUGGAGAGGCGGCUUGCAUCCGAUGCGGACCUGAAAAAUCAACUGGUGAACAUACUUGGGAGGGAAAACCACCUAGAUGCUGUUAAGAGGAUGCUGGGCCGGGCUUUGAGGAGGUCCCUGGCGCUCCAAAUUAAUUAGACUGGUGCAGCAGGAAAGGUGGCUUUUAAGUCCUUACACCUGAAGAGUGUGUUGCAUAUUAAUAUCAUUAUUAAAAAUAAUUUUAAUAAAUUGUUUAAGCAUGUAGAAGAAAUAAAGCAUGUAAAUGAGCAUGUAAAAGAAAUAAAUAAACAAAAUGUAUUGAACCUAAUACUAUGUGUGGUGAGUCUGUGUGAUAGUUGCUGAGGAUAAAUGUUUUUAUAUUGGAUUAUUAAAUUACAGAAUACAUUUAUAGGUUUCUCAUCAGCAGGCACUGUCUUCACCUUAGUAAAUUUGGUAACUUUGGUAAGCCCUGUAAAUAAUUGUAAAUUGUUCUGAUUGAGGGCAAAUGGAAAGUGUUAUAAUGUAUUAUUGCUAUAUUUUAGUACAUAAUUUUAAUUAUUAAGGCCAUAAAUAAGGCCAAUUAGAAGCUGGUGGGUAGUAAGCGGCAAAAGGGUGGCCCUUUAUCUGGAGCCGCUUCUGAGCCGCCGGUGGACCGCUAGAGAACCGAUGAGCAAAACUCCAGCGGGCCACUGGUGGGUACCGCCGUUGGACC